rnacentral:rRNA from 1 species
UACGUAGGGUCCGAGCGUUGUCCGGAAUUAUUGGGCGUAAAGGGCUCGUAGGCGGUUCGUCACGUCGGGAGUGAAAACUCGGAGCUCAACUCCGAGCCUGCUUCCGAUACGGGCAGACUAGAGGUAGGCAGGGGAGAGCGGAAUUCCUGGUGUAGCGGUGAAAUGCGCAGAUAUCAGGAGGAACACCGGUGGCGAAGGCGGUUCUCUGGGCAUUACCUGACGCUGAGGAGCGAAAGUGUGGGGAGCGAACAGG